GACGAACGCUGGCGGCGUGCUUAACACAUGCAAGUCGAACGGAAAGGCCCUGCUUGCAGGGUGCUCGAGUGGCGAACGGGUGAGUAACACGUGGGUGAUCUGCCCCUUACUUUGGGAUAAGCCUGGGAAACUGGGUCUAAUACUGGAUAGGACCAUGCUGUAGGUGGUGUGGUGGAAAGAUUAGUUUCGGUAAGGGAUGAGCUCGCGGCCUAUCAGCUUGUUGGGGGGGUAAUGGCCUACCAAGGCGUCGACGGGUAGCCGGCCUGAGAGGGUGGACGGCCACAUUGGGGCUGGGAUACGGCCCAGACUCCUACGGGAGGCAGCAGUGGGGAAUAUUGCACAAUGGGCGCGAGCCUGAUGCAGCGACGCCGCGUGGGGGAUGACGGCCUUCGGGUUGUAAACUCCUUUCAGCCAUGACGAAGCCCUUGUGGUGACGGUAGUGGUAGAAGAAGCACCGGCUAACUACGU
rnacentral:rRNA from 1 species